rnacentral:rRNA from 1 species
AUUGAACGCUGGCGGCAGGCCUAACACAUGCAAGUCGAGCGGAGCGGCGGACGGGUGAGUAAUGCCUAGGAAUCUGCCUGGUAGUGGGGGUAAGGUCCGGAAACGGGAGCUAAUACCACAUACUAUCAGAUGAGCCUUGGUGGGAUUAGGUAGUUGGUGGGGUAAAGGCCUACCUAGGCGACGAUCCGUAACUGGUCUGAGAGGAUGAUCAGUCACACUGGAACUGAGACACGGUCCAGACUCCUACGGGAGGCAGCAGUGGGGAAUAUUGGACAAUGGGCGCAAGCCUGAUCCAGCCAUGCCGCGUGUGUGAAGAAGGUCUUCGGAUUGUAAAGCACUUUCAGUUGGGAGGCGUUACCCACAGAAUAAGUACCGGCUAACUUCGUGCCAGCAGCCGCGGUAAUAC